UACAGAGGUCUCAAGCGUUGUUCGGAUUCAUUGGGCGUAAAGGGCGCGUAGGCUGCGGGGCAAGUCGGGUGUGAAAUCUCAGAGCUCAACUCUGAAACUGCACUCGAUACUGCUUGGCUCGAGGACUGGAGAGGAGAUUGGAAUUCACGGUGUAGCAGUGAAAUGCGUAGAUAUCGUGAGGAAGACCAGUGGCGAAGGCGGAUCUCUGGACAGUUCCUGACGCUGAGGCGCGAAGGCCAGGGGAGCAAACGGG
rnacentral:rRNA from 1 species